rnacentral:rRNA from 1 species
UACGGAGGGAGCUAGCGUUGUUCGGCAUUACUGGGCGUAAAGCGCACGUAGGCGGCUUUGUAAGUUAGAGGUGAAAGCCCGGGGCUCAACUCCGGAAUUGCCUUUAAGACUGCAUCGCUUGAAUCCAGGAGAGGUGAGUGGAAUUCCGAGUGUAGAGGUGAAAUUCGUAGAUAUUCGGAAGAACACCAGUGGCGAAGGCGGCUCACUGGACUGGUAUUGACGCUGAGGUGCGAAAGCGUGGGGAGCAAACAGG